GCCCCCGUAGCUCAGUGGACAGAGCGUCGGCCUCCGGAGCCGAAGAGCACAGUUCGAGUCUGUGCGGGGGCGCCA
rnacentral:tRNA from 2 species